GACGAACGCUGGCGGCGUGCUUAACGCAUGCAAGUGGAGCGACGAACCAGGGCUUGCCCUGGGGCAGAGCCGCGAACGGGUGAGUAACACGUGGGUAACGUGCCCCGAUGACUGGGACAACCCGGGGAAACCCGGGCUAAUACCGGAUGUGCCCCCUCACAUCAGUGAGGUGUGUAAAGGAAGCUUCGGCCUCCGCAUCGGGAUCGGCCCGCGGCCCAUUAGCUUGUUGGUGAGGUAACGGCUCACCAAGGCUGCGAUGGGUAGCUGGUCUGAGAGGACGAUCAGCCACACUGGGACUGAGACACGGCCCAGACUCCUACGGGAGGCAGCAGUGGGGAAUCUUGCGCAAUGCGCGAAAGCGUGACGCAGCAACGCCGCGUGGGGGAAGACGGCCUUCGGGUUGUAAACCCCUUUCAGUUGGGACGAAGGUCGGGCGGUUAACAGCCGUUCCGGCUGACGGUACCUUCACAAGAAGCCCCGGCUAACUACGUG
rnacentral:rRNA from 1 species